GAAUACAUAUUUUUCCUAGUCUGACUGCAUCUCUACUGGAUGCCACAUUGUGUAUAGAAGCAUAUAGAAGACUGAAAUUGUCCUGGAAAGAGGCUGAAUCGCAAUCAGAAACAUCUUUCUUUUCCUUGCCCAUACUUCAGAGAUACUUUAGGCAAGCUGUGCUUUCUGGUCAUUUUUAA
rnacentral:lncRNA from 1 species